UACGUAGGGUGCAAGCGUUGUCCGGAAUCAUUGGGCGUAAAGAGCGUGUAGGCGGCCCGGUCAGUCCGCCGUGAAAGUCCAGGGCUCAACCCUGGAAUGCCGGUGGAUACUGCCGGGCUGGAGUCCGGAAGAGGCGAGUGGAAUUCCUGGUGUAGCGGUGAAAUGCGCAGAUAUCAGGAAGAACACCCGUGGCGAAGGCGGCUCUCUGGGACGGUACUGACACUGAGGCGCGAAAGCGUGGGGAGCGAACAGG
rnacentral:rRNA from 1 species